UACAGAGGGUGCAAGCGUUAAUCGGAUUUACUGGGCGUAAAGCGUGCGUAGGUGGCCUUUUAAGUCGGAUGUGAAAGCCCUGGGCUUAACCUAGGAACUGCAUUCGAUACUGGAAGGCUAGAGUUCGGCAGAGGGUAAUGGAAUUCUCGGUGUAGCGGUGAAAUGCGUAGAUAUCGGGAGGAACAUCAAUGGCGAAGGCAAUUGCCUGGGCCUGGACUGACACUGAGGCACGAAAGCGUGGGGAUCAAACAGG
rnacentral:rRNA from 1 species